rnacentral:lncRNA from 1 species
UCUUCUCCCAGUGAGAGCAGCCCCUCUGUGCCCGGUCGUGUCCCCUAAACCGCUGAGCCCCGUGGACCGAGGCCAGUGGCUCUAUUCAGUGUUCCCCAGCCGUUGUGAGUGGCGGCUGUUCGUGUUGAGUGAGCGCGACCCGCGAGGUACCGAGUGAAAGGCUGGGCUGCUGGACCUCAGCCUCUUGCUCCUCCCCGCGGCUGCUGCCUCCGCCCAGCGCCUGCCCAGCAGGCACCGUCUGCACCAUCUGAGGCCUCCCAUGGAGGAUCUUAGGGAAAAAGGGUGCUGCCAUUUGUAUCCUCAUUAUCCCAGUGAGAAGAGGGAGGCUCAGCAGGUCUCUGAGUGGAGACCCUCUCAGGUCCUCGACUGUUUGUAGCCUGGUGUGGAGGAGAGUGUUCCUGGGCCCACAGCCGAGCCUUCAAGCCUCUGGGUGGUGGAGGCCAGGGCUGAGUCGCAGAUGCUCUGCUUUAAGGCCCAGCCCACCACCUAGAUGUGUGCCCUUUGCCAGUCUCCUUCGCUUACCUGAGCCUCAGGUCCUCGUCAACCUGGGCUUCAAGCAGGGUGAGCAUUUGGACAAUUUGGGCACUGAAAGGGGGUGCUGCUGAUACAUAUGCCAGGACAACAGGCAUGAACUGGGACUGUCUGGGGCAAACUGGGAUAUAGGGUGACUGUGGCUGCAGAAUAUGCAGGGGCUUCUGCCUAGGAGGUGCACUGCCUCCACAGUCAUCAUCGUUCUUAAUUAGGCUUCCUUCCCUUCUCCCGCAAUGUCCACUCCUCUCCCCUCUCUCCUGAUCCCUCCUCCAACUCAUAUUUGGGGGCUGGAGACAAACGUCACCGCCUCCCUGAAGCCCCCCUGGGUGGGUUAGAAUCAGCCACUCUUUCCUGGGCGCAAAGUUGUAGCUCCUCACACAAAGCUCCAUAACCGGAGCUGUGGUCACGUUAUCCAGAGCACGCAGGACACAGGGCUGCGCACUUGUUGGGACAAUGGGCAGCGGCUGUGUCAGACAACCUGGCUGUCCUUUUCAUCAUUACUGCAUUUGUCAUAUUGUUUUCAAUAGCUUGACAGUCGGCCUCUCCCGCUAGCCUGUGCCGCCCAAGGAGGCUGCCCCUGAGCACGUGACAGGCGGCUGGUCCGAGCCGAAGUGGGCUCUGAGGGCGGGGUGUGUGCCAGAGUGCGAGAAUAUAAAAUAGCUCGUUGAUAACUUAUUGCAUGCUGAAAUGAUAAUCCUUUGGAUAUACUGGGUUAAAUAAAAUAUUCUAUUAAAAUUUAUUUCA